CCUACGGGAGGCAGCAGUGGGGAAUAUUGGACAAUGGGGGCAACCCUGAUCCAGCCAUGCCGCGUGUGUGAAGAAGGCCCUCGGGUUGUAAAGCACUUUCAGUGAGGAAGAACGCCUGGUGGUUAAUACCCAUCAGGAAAGACAUCACUCACAGAAGAAGCACCGGCUAACUCCGUGCCAGCAGCCGCGGUAAUACGGAGGGUGCGAGCGUUAAUCGGAAUUACUGGGCGUAAAGCGCGCGUAGGUGGCUUGAUAAGCCGGUUGUGAAAGCCCCGGGCUCAACCUGGGAUCGGCAUCCGGAACUGUCAAGCUAGAGUGCAGGAGAGGAAGGUAGAAUUCCCGGUGUAGCGGUGAAAUGCGUAGAGAUCGGGAGGAAUACCAGUGGCGAAGGCGGCCUUCUGGACUGACACUGACACUGAGGUGCGAAAGCGUGGGUAGCAAACAGGAUUAGAUACCCCUGUAGUC
rnacentral:rRNA from 1 species